rnacentral:rRNA from 1 species
CGUCCGUAGGUGAACCUGCGGAAGGAUCAUUACCGAGUGUAGGGUUCCUAGCGAGCCCAACCUCCCACCCGUGUUUACUGUACCUUAGUUGCUUCGGCGGGCCCGCCAUUCAUGGCCGCCGGGGGCUCUCAGCCCCGGGCCCGCGCCCGCCGGAGACACCACGAACUCUGUCUGAUCUAGUGAAGUCUGAGUUGAUUGUAUCGCAAUCAGUUAAAACUUUCAACAAUGGAUCUCUUGGUUCCGGCAUCGAUGAAGAACGCAGCGAAAUGCGAUAACUAGUGUGAAUUGCAGAAUUCCGUGAAUCAUCGAGUCUUUGAACGCACAUUGCGCCCCCUGGUAUUCCGGGGGGCAUGCCUGUCCGAGCGUCAUUGCUGCCCAUCAAGCACGGCUUGUGUGUUGGGUCGUCGUCCCCUCUCCGGGGGGGACGGGCCCCAAAGGCAGCGGCGGCACCGCGUCCGAUCCUCGAGCGUAUGGGGCUUUGUCACCCGCUCUGUAGGCCCGGCCGGCGCUUGCCGAACGCAAAUCAAUCUUUUUCCAGGUUGACCUCGGAUCAGGUAGGGAUACCCGCUGAACU